rnacentral:rRNA from 1 species
UGGGGAAUAUUGGACAAUGGGCGGAAGCCUGAUCCAGCAACGCCGCGUGAGGGAUGACGGCCUUCGGGUUGUAAACCUCUUUCAGUAUCGACGAAGCGCCCGUGUGGGUGGUGACGGUAGGUACAGAAGAAGCACCGGCCAACUACGUG